AACGAACGCUGGCGGCAGGCUUAACACAUGCAAGUCGAACGCCCCGCAAGGGGAGUGGCAGACGGGUGAGUAACGCGUGGGAACAUACCCUUUCCUGCGGAAUCGCUCUGGGAAACUGGAAUUAAUAGCGCAUACGCCCUACGGGGGAACGAUUUAUCGGGGAAGGAUUGUCCCGCGUUGGAUUAGCUAGUUGGUGGGGUAAAGGCCUACCAAGGCGACGAUCCAUAGCUGGUCUGAGAGGAUGAUCAGCCACAUUGGGACUGAGACACGGCCCAAACUCCUACGGGAGGCAGCAGUGGGGAAUAUUGGACAAUGGGCGCAAGCCUGAUCCAGCCAUGCCGCGUGAGUGAUGAAGGCCUUAGGGUUGUAAAGCUCUUUCACCGAUGAAGAUAAUGACGGUAGUCGGAGAAGAAGCCCCGGCUAACUUCGUGCCAGCAGCCGCCGUAAGAC
rnacentral:rRNA from 1 species